rnacentral:lncRNA from 1 species
AAUACGCAAACAGAAAAAUGUUCCUAAACAGAGGUCACCUCUACAACUCUAAAUGCUUUUAGAAACAAAGAUUGUGAUCCAGGGAUUCUGUAUUCAUUCAAAUUAUCACUCACAUCUAAGGGCAAAAAGAUCUGCUAAAGAUUCAGGAAGUAUGUUACUUCUGUAAAAUAAUUACUAUAAGAAGUACUUCAAUCAAAAUUUUUAUAGUUUCGGGUCUUACGUUUACGCCUUUGAUUGAUCUUGAGUUAAUUUUUGUAUAUGGUGAGGAUGGGGUCCAGUUUCAUUCUUCUCCAUAUGACUAUCUGGUUUUCCGAGCACAACUUAUUGAACAGGGUGUCCUUUUGAGAGGUGACAGCAUACUGGCAGCGCUCGCAGCCCUCGCUCGCUCUCGUUGCCUCCUCGGCCUUGGCGCCCAUUCUGGCGGCGCUUGAGGAGCCCUUCAGCCCGCCGCUGCACCCUGGGAGCCCUUCUCCGGGCUGGCCGAGGCCGGAGCCGGCUCCCUCGGCUUCCGGGGAGGUGUGCAGGGAGAGGCACAAGCGGGAACCGGGGCUGCGCCCGGCGCUUGCGGGCCAGCUGGAGUUCCGGGUGUGCGUGGGCUUGGCGGACACCGCACUCGGAGCGGCCGGCCCGAGCAGUGAGGGGCUUAGCACCUGGGCCAGCAGUUGCGGAGGGUAGGCCGGGUCCCCCAGCAGUGCCGGCCCACCGGCGCUGCGCUCGAUUUCUCGCAGGGCCUUAGCUGCCUCCCUGCGGGUCAAGUCUCAGGACCUGCAGCCCGCCAUGAGCCUCCCCUUCUCCCCCCUCCAGACCAAUCGGCUCUCUGUAAAAUGGACCAAUCAGCAGGAUGUGGGUGGGGCCGGAUAAGAGAAUAAAAGCAGGCUGCCCGCGCCUGCAGUGCCAACCUGAGGAGGUCUCCUUCCACACUGUGGGAGGUUUGUUCUUUCGCUCUUUGCAAUAAAUCUUGCUGUUGCUCACUCUUUGGGUCCACACUGCCUUUAUGAGUUGUAACACUCACCACGAAGGUCUGCAGCUUCACUCCUGAAGCCAGCAAGACCACAAACCCACCGGGAGGAACGAACAACUCCAGACGCGCCGCCUUAAGAGCUGUAACAAUCACCCCGAAUGUCUGCAGCUUCACUCCUGAGCCAGUGAGACCACGAACCUGCCAGAAGGAACAAACUCCGAACCGCCGCCUUUAAGAACUGUAACACUCACCGCGAGGGUCCGCGACUUCAUUCUUGAAGUCAGUGAGACCAAGAACCCACCAAUUCCGGACACACUUUCCCUGUUGCAUAUUUUUGUUGACUUUGUUGAAGGGGAUAUGCCCCGCUUUAGAACUGCUGGAUCCAUGCAUUUGUGCAUAUACAGUUUCCCCACAUACUCGCCAACUGGUCUCCAGAAUGGAUGCACCCACCAGUUUAUACUCCAUCCAGUAGAUGAAGAGUUGCUGCUUCCCACAGACUUGACAAUACUUGAUAUUAUCCAACUUUUUAAUUUAGCCAUUCUUGUUAAAGUUUUAGUUUGCAAUUAUCUGAAUUGAGAUUCUUUUCAUUAUGCCUUUUAGUCAUUUUAGUUUUCUCCUUCUUUGAAUUGUCUCUUUAUAUUCUUUGCUCAUUCUUCUAUGUGAUUGCCUGGGAUUUUUAAUUGUGGGUUUGUAGGAUUUCUUUAUAUUUUAAUCUUUUAUUAAUUGUUCACACCCCAAAUAUCUUCUCCCAGUCUGUCUAUAGUGUCCUACACAAAACAGAAGUCCUUACUUUUGACUUCAAUUUCACCAAUUUUUUUUGUAUGCCCUGGGCUUUACCUCAUUUGAGAAAUGCUCUCCCACUGUAUUGUUACAAAGACAUUCUCUAACAUUUUUUAUCAUAGCUUUAUAGUUUUGUCUUUUAUUUUGAGAUCUUCAUUACAAUGGGGGAUCAUUUUUAUAUGUGGUAUGAAUUUGGGGCCUGUAUUUUCUCCAAGUGUUUAGCCAAUUUUCACAAUAAUGUUUUUUAAAUAAUCUACCAUUUUCUCAAUGAUCUACUUACCAAGUUCUUAUAUACACAUGGAUUUGUUUUAGAUCCUAUUUUAUUUUAGAUUCUAUUCUAUUGUCUAUUUGGCAUUUUUAGUGUCAGUAUCACACUGAAUUACUAGAGCUUAGUAAUAUACCUUAAUAUCUAGUAAGAUAUUUCCCAACCUCUCUCUUCUUUUUAUGAACUGUUUUAGCUAUUUGUGGAUUUGCGUGUGACCAAUUCACCUCUAUUGGAUUUUUUAUUUUAGUUACAUUAAAUUUAUAUUUUAAUUUAGGAAGAAUUUAUAUCUUUAUGUUAAAUCUUCCUUCCACAAAUCUGGUAUUUCUACCUAAUCAGUUCUUUUUUUAAUGUCCCUUAAUAAUGCUUUAAAAUGUCUUCCAAAAUAAUUUUUGCAUUUUAGGUCAGUUUAUAUAUAUAUAUAUAUAUAUAUAUAUAUAUAUAUGCUAUUGUAAACAGUAUCUUAUCGUCUAUUAUAUUUUUUAACGGCUGUUGGUGUAAAAUAAGUCUAUUUAUCAUUACGUACUGAUUUGUGCUCAGCAAGCAAACUGAACUCUCUUUUUAGCUUUAGUCAUUUGUCUGUUGAUUCUCUUGAGUUUUCUAUGUACUUAAAUCAUCUACGCGUACUGACAGUUUUGUCUCCUUCCUUAUAGCUUUAUCCCUUAUUUCUUUUACUUCUCAUAUUUCAUUGGCCAGGACACCUAGUCCUUUGUAGAAAAGAAGGGAUCAUAGCAGGCAUUCUUUUUUGUUAUUGACAUUAAAGGGAAGACUUCUAAGGUUUCUCCAUUAAGUAUGAUGUUUGAACAUUUUUACCAUAUCUACCACUGAGGCAAUACGAUGUUUAAUGGUGUGUUUAUUAAUAAAGAAAUUGAAAACCUCAUUUUGAGAGACAGAAUUUCUUGCCAAUGUAAUACUAAGCUCCAAACUAAACUUAAAGUCUGAACAUAUUUUUCCAACUUAAAAUAGUUUUAAUUGUGCUUUUACCUCCCGGUUUUCUCAUUUCUCUUUGCCAAAUUUUGGCCCAGGGAAUAGAGUGUAACAGUACUAUUAGUAGCCAUCUGACAAGGGAUUAAAAUAAUUUAUGGUUUGAACUAUGGAUAUACAGGUUCUGUACCACUGCUUAUGAAGUAACAAAUGUAGCUGGUUU